rnacentral:Y_RNA from 1 species
GGCUCAUCCGAAGGUAUUGAGUUAUCUCACUUGAUUGUUCACAGUUCAGAUUGAAUUCCUUAUUCUACUACUUUCCCCCUUCUCACUACUGUACUUGACUAGUCUUUU